AAAGUUAUUUGCAAUCCGAAUAGGAUGAAUUACCUCUCAUUCCUCUAAACCCCACCCCAUCCCCAGUUCUCCAACAACAAAAAAGAAAAGAAAAAAAAAAAAAGGAGGGGACGGGGGAGUACUGCAGUGGAGGGCCCACGAGUGAAGGGGGUCGAAUGCGAACAUUUUUCUACCUGGGGAUUGAGGAGAGAGGGACUAGGUGCCCGAAUGAGGAUGUCUUUGUUUGACUGAGGAGGAACUAGAUCCCCGCCUCUACCCACAAGCUCGGAUUGUCAACCCGUCCUACCUGAGCGGGACAGAUGAACUCAGCCAGAGGAGGGGAAGCUUGCGAUCUCCUGCUCCGCCUCCCAACACACCCCUCCCUUUUCUCGGAGGAGGGGGAAAGAGAAGGAGCGAGCCCCACCAAGAGGGGGUGGGGAAUAGGAAGGACAGCUUUCUUCUCACCUGAAAAGGAAGGAGAGAGGGAACCUGCAGCCGCUUCUGCUCGCUCGGGGGAAACGGAUCCUCACCGCCCAAGAAUCCAUUCCUGGGGAAGGCAUCCCUAGUGAGGCAAGGUGGAAGGAUCCCGGGGCGACACUCCUACCCCUACAUCCCCCGGGCUUUUCUGGAGGACGAAAUUAAGAGGUUGUUUGUCUCUCGUAGUCGAGCUCUCUCCGGGGAGCCCGAAGGUACACGUGAAGAGAUCUAGCUGUAACGGUGGCGUCGGGUCCCCCUCCGGCCGGCGCUUGGAGUGGCCUAAGUGAUAACCUCUUAACUUGGAUUUGCUCUGAGGGUCCCCUGCAUCGGAAACCCUUAAACUUGGCUUUGAUAAGGAAGAGCCGACGGAGUGUUCUCCGGGGAGCGGGGAGCGCGGCAAGCAGGGAAGGUCUCUUUUCAUAAGGUGCUGGAAGGGGAAGCUAGAUGAUGCAGUGGAUACAGCAC